UACGGAGGUGGCAAGCGUUGCUCGGAAUCACUGGGCGUAAAGGGCGCGUAGGCGGGGAGGUAAGUCGGGUGUGAAAUCCCUCGGCCCAACCGAGGAACUGCGCCCGAGACUGCUUCUCUUGAGUCCCGGAGAGGAAGAUGGAAUUCCCGGUGUAGCGGUGAAAUAUGUAGAGAUCGGGAGGAACACCGGUGGCGAAGGCGGUCUUCUGGACGGUGACUGACGCUGAGGCGCGAAAGCGUGGGGAGCAAACGGG
rnacentral:rRNA from 1 species